rnacentral:rRNA from 1 species
UACGUAGGGUGCAAGCGUUAAUCGGAAUUACUGGGCGUAAAGCGUGCGCAGGCGGUUAUGCAAGACAGAGGUGAAAUCCCCGGGCUCAACCUGGGAACUGCCUUUGUGACUGCAUAGCUAGAGUACGGUAGAGGGGGAUGGAAUUCCGCGUGUAGCAGUGAAAUGCGUAGAUAUGCGGAGGAACACCGAUGGCGAAGGCAAUCCCCUGGACCUGUGACUGACGCUCAUGCACGAAAGCGUGGGGAGCAACAGG